GACGAACGCUGGCGGCGUGCUUAACACAUGCAAGUCGAACGGUAAGGCCCUUCGGGGUACACGAGUGGCGAACGGGUGAGUAACACGUGGGUGAUCUGCCCUGCACUUCGGGAUAAGCCUGGGAAACUGGGUCUAAUACCGGAUAGGACCCUGGGAUGCAUGUCCUGGGGUGGCAAGCUUUUGCGGUGUGGGAUGGGCCCGCGGCCUAUCAGCUUGUUGGUGGGGUGAUGGCCUACCAAGGCGACGACGGGUAGCCGGCCUGAGAGGGUGACCGGCCACACUGGGACUGAGAUACGGCCCGGACUCCUACGAGAGGCAGCAGUGGGGAAUAUUGCACAAUGGGCGCAAGCCUGAUGCAGCGACGCCGCGUGAGGGAUGACGGCCUUCGGGUUGUAAACCUCUUUCAGCACCGACGAAGCGCAAGUGACGGUAGGUGCAGAAGAAGGACCGGCCAACUACGUGCCAGCAGCCGCCGUAA
rnacentral:rRNA from 1 species